UACGUAGGGUGCAAGCGUUGUCCGGAAUUAUUGGGCGUAAAGAGCUCGUAGGCGGUUUGUCGCGUCGGCUGUGAAAACUCGGGGCUCAACCCCGAGCCUGCAGUCGAUACGGGCAGACUAGAGUGCGGUAGGGGAGACUGGAAUUCCUGGUGUAGCGGUGAAAUGCGCAGAUAUCAGGAGGAACACCGGUGGCGAAGGCGAGUCCCUGGACAGGUCCUGACGCUGAGGCACGAAAGCUAGGGGAGCAAACAGG
rnacentral:rRNA from 1 species